CUGAUGUUGUAGCAGGGGGUGAGUGCAAACCUGCCUGGCCUCGUGCAUUGCAGCUGCUCUGGGCUGUUCCUAAACUCCUUGCUAAAUGCAGACUUCCUGCUCAAGCAGCAUCUCAUCAUCUUCCAGCAGCUCUGGGUUUUCUCCAGGACUUUUUGACAUAUCUCUAGGAUGAAGACUGUUCCUUUAGUCAUCUUCGGCUAAAGACGCCUUCAAGAAGAAAGUUCAAAUGACCUGGGGAAAAUUCCAAACAGCACGGAAGAGGAAAACAAGUAUCCCAGCCCUUAGAGUGAGGGAGAUACCUCACUUAUAUUAGCUCCAUAUUAUGUCUAAUAUCUACUUCUGUGAAGCACCUAUCUGCUGGUGUGUGUACAUAUAUUUACACACAGACAGAUAUAUUCCAUUGUAUACACUUAUUUGUGUAAUCACAUUAUAAACAGCACGUGCAUUCUGCGAGUGCCUAUACCUAUAAUCAGUAUUAUACAUAUAUACAUACAUAUAUAUAUAUAUAUAUAUACACUCAAAGUUUGAAUAAAUACAUUAUAUUCCAUAUUUUGAAGGAGAGAUAUUCUUGUGGUUUUUAUUAAAUGUAAGGCUCUGCAACCAUAAAAUAAAGCCAACUCUUCACAAAUCA